GAAUUAACCGAAGACAUUCCAGAAUCAAGACCGCAUACAGAUAAUUACUUAAUGCAUAACGCCAUCUGGUGCCAAACGAAGCCUCCGACGUAUGAUGAAGCUAUGACUAAUAAACAGUUUCCCUUGCAAAAGGUUCUCACUUCCGAUGUUCCUCCGCCAUACGAAUAUUGUACAUCUAUCACUCUUUAUUAGGAAGAAGAUGUGUGUUGAAGCCACGUUGUCAUGUUCUUAAUUUAUCAUCAGAAGUAGCAGUCGAUAUGAUUAUCAGGAAGCCUUACUGUCCAGUCCUCAGUUUGUUGCCAAGAGAACAAUGGACAGGAUUAUCAGGAAGCCUUACUGUCAAAUUCAAGAAUAACAGUGGACAAAAUUAUGAGAAAGCCUUACUGUCAUACAUUUAGUUUGUUGUCAAGAGUAAGAAUGGACAAUGUUAUCAGGAAGCCAUAUUGUUAAAUAUUUAGUUUGUUGUCAAGAGAACAAUGGACAAUGUUAUCAGGAAGCCAUACUAUCAAAUAUUUAGUUUGUUGCCAAGAGAACAAUGGACAAUGUUAUCAGGAAGCCAUACUGUCAAAUAUUUAGUUUGUUGCCAAGAGAACAAUGGACAAUGUUAUCAGGAAGCCAUAUUGUCAAAUAUUUAGUUUGUUGUCAAGAGAACAAUGGACAAUGUUAUCAGGAAGCCAUACUGUCAAAUAUUUAGUUUGUUGUCAAAAGUAACAACGGACAAGGUUAUCAGGAAUCCAUAUUGUUAAAUAUUUAGUUUGUUGUCAAGAAUAACGAUGGACAAGGUUAUCAGGAGAACAUAUUGUUAAACAUUUAGUUUGUUGUCAAGAGUAACGAUGAACAAGGUUAUCAGGAAGUAAACAUGACAAAUUUUCGCCACUUCUCUCACUAAAAUCAAGAAGAAAAUGUUACAGUUUUCUGCUACCAAUAGCAAUCAAUCGUUUUAAUAAAUCUAUGUAAUGUACAGUUACAAAAAAGGCAAUAAUUAUUGUAAUUCCUUACUUUGAUAUUUGAUUUUUUUUGUUCCACUCGAACUGGGGCAUUUUUGUAAAUAAAUAUUUUAUUUACAACACAAAAUGUCCAUUUUUUUUACCUAAGU